rnacentral:rRNA from 1 species
UCGCAAGAGGAGCGGCAGACGGGUGAGUAACACGUGGGAACGUGCCCAAAGGUACGGAACAACUCCGGGAAACUGGAGCUAAUACCGUAUGUGCCCGAGAGGGGAAAGAUUUAUCGCCUUUGGAUCGGCCCGCGUCUGAUUAGCUAGUUGGCGGGGUAAUGGCCCACCAAGGCGACGAUCAGUAGCUGGUCUGAGAGGAUGACCAGCCACACUGGGACUGAGACACGGCCCAGACUCCUACGGGAGGCAGCAGUGGGGAAUAUUGGACAAUGGGCGCAAGCCUGAUCCAGCCAUGCCGCGUGAGUGAUGAAGGCCUUAGGG